UGGAUGGUUGGACUAGGUGAUCUUGUAGGUCUUUUCCAACCUAGCUCAUUCUAUGAUUCUAUGAUUCUAUGAUUCUAUGAUUCUAUGAUUCUAUGAUUGAGAGAACUGAAGCUCCAGCCACUCCUCUCAAGGGGAUCCCAAAUGCUGGAGGGAGGAUGUACCCUCUAUCCCUUAUCUUGGAGCUAGAACAGAAAACCAUUGGAGACAAGAAGAAAUAGAAGAAAGUGGGCCAUGAGCUGGUGGCAUACAGAAUGCCAGAAGGGCAGAGGGUCCACCUGGCCCGACCCCCACUCCUGCAGGGACACCCAGAGCAGUGGGCCCAGGCCCACGUCCAGGAGGAUUCUGCAGAACUCCAAGGAGGAGACCCCACAGCCUCUCUGGGCAGCCUGGGUCUGAAAAGAGCCCAGCUCCAUCCUCUUUGCGCCUCCCUUCAGCACGAUGGUCAGACUUGGCGAUGCUUUCAGCCAGUGGUGAGGAGCAUGUCCACACUGCGUAAUAAAGGAUGUUACAGAGGGCUACCAAACAGAGCUGACUGGAACUGCCUGCUUUACACUGAAGCAAGUACA